CCAUGUUGGUUAGGUUCUCCAGAGAAACAAUAUAUAUACUUGUUUUUAGUUCCUUGCUUUAACUAAAUAACAAUAACAACAACAACAAUAAUGAUGAUUUAGUAAUAGCUAAGAUAAUUUCAAGAUUUCAAGGAGCAUCAUGAUCAAAGGAUUACCAACCACCAGGAUUUGCAACAUCCCUUUCCAGACCACCAGAGAGAUGCCUAGAAGACUCCAAUAAUCAAUCUCUUCCUAACCUGAGACCCCUCUUUUUUGCGCUUGCCUAGGGCUGAAAGAAACUUGAACCUUGUGCUAGGUUAAGAUGGUCUUUUGGGUGCUCAAGUCUGCCAUCCUUUGGGUUUGCUGGCUUACUGAAUAAAUCUGUUUCCUUGCUUCUACAACUUGCCCCGAUCCCUUGGUUUCCUUUUGAGUGGCAAGUAAACAGGUGUGGGUUCAGCAACAGUGUUCGUGACUGUUGUGUCCAGGCCCUCUGUGGAUUGGACGAUGCUGGCUCACACGGGGGAGGCCAUCUAUCUGUUUUACCCAGCCUACCAAUUCAAAUGUUCAUAUGUCCCAGAAACAACCUUACAGACACACCCGGAAAGAAUGUUUAACCAAAUACCUGUGGCCUAGUCAAGUGGACACAUAAAGUUUACCACACAGUAAUGGGAAAAAAUGGAAUUUUAUUAUGAAGAUGAUAGGAAAAUCAUGUUUCUGCUUAUUUGCAAAGAAACCUAGCAGUUUUUGCAGCUACCAUGGAAGAAUUCUGAUUUAUGUGUGCAGCAGAUGACUUUUAUAUCUUCACUUGUGGUGUCUCUGUCUCUAUUGCUGCUGUUGCCAGGGUGCCAUGUCCCCUGCUGCCAUCUUCCAUCUGGGGCCUCUCUGAUGUCAUCCGUCUGUCUCUGUGGGGCCCAGUCACAGCUCCCUGGAAAGACCUGUUCCAGUUUAGCUGCCAUGAAGUCAGAAUGUCACCAAAGGGGUCUGAAGAGGUCCCCCAAAGAGGGAAUGGGGACUUUAACUCAUCCCACCCACGGGAGGAGAGUAAAAUCGCAUGAAGUGUAAACUCUGAACUGACAUGACUGCAGCUGGAAGGCCCUGGAAGGUCUUUGGAUUCCUAUUAGACAUUCUCCACUUCAAG
ensembl:lncRNA